rnacentral:pre_miRNA from 1 species
UGUUUUAGGGCCUGAUCCAAAGCCCAUUGAAGUCAUUGGGAAUCUUUCUAUCAAUUUCAAUGGGUUUUGGAUCAAGCCUUUUGUUG